rnacentral:rRNA from 1 species
AGCGGCGUGCCUAACACAUGCAAGUCGAACGAGAAAGGGUUCCGUUCGGGGACCUGAGUAAAGUGGCGAACGGGUGAGUAACGCGUAGGUAAUCUGUCCUCGAGUGAGGAAUAACUUGGCGAAAGCCGAGCUAAUACCGCAUGACAUCCCCAGGUCUCCGGGCCAGGGGAUCAAAGGUGGCGAGCUUCGAGCGCUGCCGCUUGAGGGGGGGCCUGCGUCCCAUUAGCUUGUUGGUGAGGUAACGGCUCACCAAGGCUCCGAUGGGUAGCCGAGCUGAGAGGCUGAUCGGCCACACUGGAACUGAGACACGGUCCAGACUCCUACGGGAGGCAGCAGUGGGGAAUUUUGCGCAAUGGGGGAAACCCUGACGCAGCGACGCCGCGUGAGCGAUGAAGGCCCUCGGGUCGUAAAGCUCUGUCGAGUGGGACGAACUGCGGGAGCUCUAAUACAGCUCUCGCCUGACGGUACCACUGGAGGAAGCCCCGGCCAACUCCGUG